GUGGGGAAUCUUCCACAAUGGACGAAAGUCUGAUGGAGCAACGCCGCGUGAGUGAAGAAGGGUUUCGGCUCGUAAAGCUCUGUUGUCGGGGACGAAUGUGCAGUAUUUGAAUAAAGUACUGCAAUGACGGUACCUGACGAGGAAGCCACGGCUAACUACGUGCCAGCAGCCGCGGUAAUACGUAGGUGGCAAGCGUUGUCCGGAAUUAUUGGGCGUAAAGGGAGCGCAGGCGGGAAGGUAAGUCGGUCUUAAAAGUGCGGGGCUCAACCCCGUGAUGGUAGCGAAACUAUCUUUCUUGAGUGCAGGAGAGGAAAGUGGAAUUCCUAGUGUAGCGGUGAAAUGCGUAGAUAUUAGGAAGAACACCAGUGGCGAAGGCGACUUUCUGGACGAAAACUGACGCUGAGGCGCGAAAGCCGGGGGAGCGAACGGUAUUAGAAACCCCGGUAGUCC
rnacentral:rRNA from 1 species